CAGACCUUAGCUUAGUUGGUAGAGUGGUGGACUGUAGUUGGACUAAUCUAAAUUGGAAAUCCUUAAGUCGCUGGUUUGAUUCCGGCAGGUUGGA
rfam:Ipomoea nil DNA, scaffold: scaffold2701, cultivar: Tokyo-kokei standard.